AUUAUUACUAUUUAGUACUUUUCCUUCUGUUAUUAUUCUUUUUAUAUAUUUUUUAUUAUCCUUUUUUAUUUAUUCUUAUUGUCAUUUGUUUUAUUAUUUAUUCUUAUUUUUUAUUGAUUUUACCCUACUAUUUUUACUAUAGUAAUAUUGAUUUGAUUACCUAGAAUCGUCUAUUUCUUUUGUGUUUGUGGUUUCAUUAUUUUUCUUUAUUAUUAUUAAUUCUCAUUCCUAUUCUUUAGUUUCAUU
rnacentral:lncRNA from 1 species